GAAGUGUUCAAGCGGCCGCAGAGCUUCCCAGAGUUCGCAGGUCUGGGGCUGUCUUCACAGCGAGCUCGUAGGGGAGGACAGUCAAGGGACUCAAGCGUCCCUCUUGACUCCCCUUCUCUCGCCGUGCAGUGGCGGCGCCGAGGGGCCGACGCUCAGGGCUAAUCUCUAUCAGUCACUCUCGAGGCCCCGGGUAAUAUUGGGUGGGUCACAAGAACUCAUCUUUCAUGAUUUGGAAGCUGGAAGGAAGGAAGCACUUUUGUAGCUGACUCACCUCAAUGGCAUGAACAGUGUCUGAGCCUACAACUGCGCUACCUUCUCUGGAUUUUUCUUCACUUUUUCCUCACUCAUGAGCCAGGACCCAUGUGGGCAGAGAGGAGAGUUCUCACCUGGAGUUCAGCAUGGUGGACUUGGGCUGCAGCCGUGGCCACCUGGUCCUCCAGAUCCGCCAGAUGGGUCUCAUCAGUGCCGCUGUGGAUGCAGCGGGCGGCAUCUUCCAGCUCAGUCAGCUGGCUCUCCAGUCCAUACACAGUGCCUGCUGCCAGGUAUACCUGUAGAGAGAGUGCUGCAUUUGAGUUCAGGUCUGCAGACCUGGGACUCGUUGGGGUCCCUUGAGGGGACCCCAGCAAUUCAGAGGAGUGAGAGAGAGAACUGGGCUUAACAUGGCAGGGGGAAUGUUAUUUUUAUAACAUUUAUGAACAUUCUUCACACUUAAAUGUGUGAGGUCUUGACACCCCUCACUGUCAACCACACCUUCCCUCUCCCACAAACUUUCCUGUACGAAAAAGCAUUUUAAAGUUGCUUUUGUUCAAAUAGUGCAAAAUACAUGACAUCAGCUAUGCAAAUUGUGUAUUGGUCCAGUGACUAUAAAAAUGACUAUAAAGAAGAAACAAAGAGAAACAUUCAUGAUGGAGUUUUGCCAACACAACUUUUGUUUAGCAUUUAGUAUUUGAGAAAGAAUUCAGAAAACAUGAAAGAAGGGAAAAAAUUUAAAAUAAUUACAAAUUUUGAGUGAAUUCUCUGAUUAAUUAGCUUCUGCAUGCUUCAGUGAGGUUAAGGGAAUUAAAUAAACCUGAAGUUUGUAGUUGAAAAAUAUUUCUUAGAAAAUAGUGUGAUGUUAAGAGAAGCAUGUUGAAUCUAUUUAUCUGUCAAUUAGGACAAUUUUUGAGAGCUAUUAAAAAUAAGAGAGCAAGUCUGAUAAAGAAAUUUAAGAAAAAGAAACAUUUUUUACUUACAAGUUUAUAAGGUUAUUCCCAUAAAAGUGAGCAAGGUAAAAUCCUUGAAAUAACUCAGACUAAGUGGUGUGGGCCAGAGUGAAUGAAACACAUACCCCCUCUCCCUAAUCAAUAAUGUGAUGAAGCAACCAACAACACAAGAAAUGAGAUGUAUCUAAAGAAAGUCAUUACUUAAAGAGAGGUUCUUGAGGUUUAAUCAACAUAUAUAAAAUCCUAAACCUGUAAUCACAGCAAUUUAGAGUUGAUUUGAAUGAAACACAUGGCCAAGACUUUAACGGUUUCCUGAACUUGGGUUAAGAAUACAGAAGAGUUGAAGACAAGUCAAGAGUUCAGGUACACAAGUUAUGCUCCUUCCUUCCUUCCUUCCCUCCUUCCUUCCUUCCUUCCUUCCCUCCCUCCCUCCCUCCCUCCCUUCCUUCCUUCCUUCCUUCCUUCCUUCCUUCCUUCCCUUCACUUAAUGACGCUGUGUUGGUGAGGGAAAGAAGCCUGAGAUGUUCCCACUCUGUCAAUUCCUUGGCGUGAUUCACUCAUCUGUUUUAAAACUGGCAAUUUUACAAAACAUUUCAAGGUGGAGCAAAGGCAGGUACAGGUUUGAUGAAAGCAAAUUUGUGCACCAUCACCAGACAUAAUUACCUGGGCUGUGGGAGCUUUCAGCACUGAUUGGCACAGACGAUGUCACAUCAGAUGAUUCACCAGUCAUACAGGGGCCAUGAAUCAAAUGUCUGAUGGGAAUUGCCAUACUUCAGUUUAUCUUUUGUUUUAUAUUUCUUUAUCAUAUGUUGAAUAUGUAAUUCUGUUUCAUACAGAGAAAUUCUGUUUCUAAGAGAUCCUCACAAUUUAAUCAUAGCCAUUUAUUUUUGUUUUUAAACAGGAAAUGGUUCUUUGUCAAAUGAAAGAAAUGAUAAAUAUUUCAAAGGUAUUUGAGUGAAUAAAUUAUUCAAAUAAUGUAUCACAAAAUUUCUGAAGUUGAAAAACUUCCCUUUAGAGGGUAAAAAUAUAAUUGGGGGUGGGGAAAAGGGGGAUAACCAGAGAGAGAGAGAGAGAGAGAGAUGUUUGAAGUUUAUUAUACUUUUUUAUACUUUCUCCUAUCUACACCAAAAAAAGUAAAUUUAUUUUAAUAAGAAUUUAAAAUAUAAAUCUACAGUUUUACACAGUGAAACAACAUUUGGAGUUAUUUAAGUGAAAUAAUUUAAGCAUGGCAAUGGUUAAACAGAACUUAACAUAACUAAGGUCUUGGAACCUUGAUUUUAGCAGAAACAUGCAAAACUCAAUGUCAUCACACCCUGGGAUGUGCAUCAACCUGAUUGCUGUUUACAUCUUCAACAUGUUCAUUCCCUAAUGUUCCUUUUUUUUUUUCCUGCCAAGACAAAGCAAGAUGAAAAAGCUCCAAGCCCUCAGCAAGGCCAGAAUGUUCAUCUUUUACUCUGUGUUUGCUAAAAGCCUACUUUCCUGGCACCAGGAGGAAGAAUAGAUUUAGUGGUUUGGCACUGAUACCGGCUGAACAGGAAUUUACAGCCAAAAUGAUGGUGCCUAAAGGACUGGAGGAGAAUGAUGAUGAUGAUGGUGGGGAUGAUGAUGAUGUGAUGACAGCAUUAAUUUAUAGAGUCAGUGGCUGAGCCAAGGGUUUUAUGUGACUUAUAUAUGCUCAUAGCAACCCUUGAGGUAGAUACUCUUGUAAUAAUUGUGUUCAAGACGAGAAUUUUUAUGCUCUAGGAAGGUUUAGUGAUUUUCUGAGGUCUCAGCUGGGGACUGGUGGACCCUAGAAGUGAUCUCAGAAGGGCUGAAGCUAGUUCCCUUGCCUUUAUCCUCCUUGCCCUAUUAUGCUGUGAUAAUCUCAGUUGGAACGUUAUAACAUUUUGCAUUUCAGAUUUUAACAUAAAGGUACUAGAGUUACUAUGGUUACAGAUGGAUAUGAUAUUGGCUCUGUUGCUGGCUUGAAAUAACAAAAGGUAACAUGCUAUAUGAUGAAAAUGUUAUUCUAGCUUUAUAAAACAUAACCCAUUUGAAAAAUGUUCACUUGGACUUGCUUGGUAAGUUAAGGUCCACUUUUGGUGAGAACUAUGGUUACCAUGUCUGAGUAAUCUAUGACCCCUUCAAACUCUAGUCAUUGAUGCCUAUGAUUGCAUUCACUGACUCUCAGUUCAACAAGGCUUUCUCAAAGUGGUUCAAGGCAUAAGAAUAGGUGUUUCCUUAAUGAAACACUUAUUUGUGAUUAAAUUCUCUAGAAUAAAGAGUGUUAAACAGAUUUCUUUACUGCAGGUCUUCCGAGAGGCUUUAAUGUGCUAAUAUGUAUCUCAAUUUUCCUAGAAAGAGUAUGCAAGCUUCCAAGACUUAUUUGACCUUAGAGCAUCUUGUUGGACUUGACUUCCAUGAAAUAUACUUUAGGGGACUAAUGUAUUUCUUUCCUUGCACUCUGAGGGCAGAGAACCACCUGAGUAACCAUGAUCAUCUCCACAAGUUCUAGUGCCACAUCCUCUUUGGUGCUGUGAGGGUUGUAGGAGAGCUUUGGGAAAGAGGACCAACAUCCUCUGCAUGGACCUGGAUUCAGUGGCAGAGCUGGGCUCCCUGUAGUGCAGGUCUGCUGUGUCUGCUGCCACUGGUUGUAUACUCCAUGGGCAAUGUGGGAUGGAGCUAAAAGGGAAGUUGGGUUUGCCCUCCGCUCCCUCUGAGGCUUGGGAUUAUGGGUUACUUACAACCCUGCAUACAUCCUCAAGGUGGCAGUCCUACUAUUCACACCACAGGUCUGAGAAUGCUCAUGCUAGUCAUUCUCUGUUGACCUUCUAGGUCCAUUUUCUAUCCUCCUUUGUCCUGCCCUGUUUCCUGGGAGGCUGACCUAUUUGGACUUCAUCACCAGGGCUUCCUGGCUGUCUGGGAUUGGUUUGGUCAGUGGAGAUACCACUGUCUGGGACUGGUAAUAGCUUCCUUUUAUUGCUACUAUUCCACCCUCAGCAUCCCAUAACCUUGCCCACACCUGAGUCCAGCUACAUCCCAACAGGUAUAGCAGAGCUCUUCACAGCAAGAGUUUAAAAUACCUAGAGACCAAGACAUUCAGCCCAAGGACUUGAGCCCCCAUUGCGUGCUGCUGUGGAGGCUGGGAUUAGUCCUAGGUUGUUUCUGCCUUCAGGGGAGACAAGAGCUGAUUUCACAGCACUAACACCAGAUAGCAGGACCCGUUGUGUCCCUCAAGGAAAGAGAUGUCACAGUAAAGAUGAUCUGAGGUCCUGGGGAGAUCCUUUCUCUUCCUCCCCAUUACAAAAGCCACACAGGCGAAGCUAGUGUAACUGGGCAGAGCUGUGAGUCUUCAGAGGUAUUUUUAAAGUCCCUAGGUUCCCUAGCACAAAGGAGAACAGCGGAGGAGUGCAGGACUGUUCUUUAUUCUGAAGACCAACAAAAGCCAUGGUUUAAUGAGAUCAGCUGCGCCCAGAGGACAGUUUAAGAACCACCCUGGCUUCUCCCACUGCUCAGCUGAAUUCCAUCCGGGAGCAGCAGAGCGAGGCAACCCGCCCGUGGCUCUGUGAUCUGUUGAAUUAAAGAGACGAAGAAGAGUCCUCCUUUCCCUGACUCAAAAGCUCAUGAAUUCAAAAGAAUAUAGAUGGGGUUUCUUCUGAGGUUAAAUUUAAAAAGCUGAAGGAUGGGGGAAGGGAAGGAGGAGGAAGAACGCAGUUAACUCUUUGGGAACAGGAGAGGCAUGAGGGGUGCAGAACAGGGGAGCAGUCACCUACAGACUGGGCCUUCCAGCCUUGGUCCCUGCUGGGGCUUCUGACAUCUUCAGUCUGUGAGUAAGUGGACAUAUUUUAAAUCGAAACUGUUAAUGAACCCAAAGGAAAAAAAACAUAACUUACAAUUAAAGGAUCUUACAAGAUGAAAACUCCAAUAAGGCCAUUGCAUUCUUUUCAACAUGCUCCUUGGAGGUAAAAAUAAAAGGGCAGGAUAUCUUUGUUUUAAGUGUGCUAUGAAAACUGACCAUUUUCAUUUAAACCAGAUAUUUCACACACUGUUUUUCUGAUACCAUACUUUGUAAAAAAUACAUUCGUUUGCUAGUGAA